ACAAUACAUGCUGAUUUAUAUAGCGCUUUCACAACAGCGGCAGCUGUAACAAAGCGCUUUACAAAACAGUUAACAUAAAGUAAAAUAAUAAACAACACAUAACAUAAAACACGGACAGUCGUGCAGUCCUAACCACUUUUCCGUCACACGCUUUGUUGUUUGAAGCGGUUUGAGAUGAAAGAGGAGAGAAUCAAAGCGUCCUUUAACCAGUGGAUCAGAGACGUCAUGCUCAAAAUGUGCACACGUCGGCUACAUGCUAAGUUUCAAAGUCAACAAGAAGCUGUAGCAUCCAUUGACGAAAAAAGAGAUUGGUUAACUUCUCCUGUCCCAAUGAAAUCCAUUUCAAUUCCAAGCGGCGACUCACGGUUCCAAAUAUGCAUCUGCGCUCUUCGCCAACGCUCCUCUCUCCUCAUCCUCAACUUCAGCGGCCAUCCAUCCAGCCGCACCAACGCCAACUGUCCAACAGCGCUGACAUAGCCACUGAACAAAUCGGGGUUGUGAAAAAUGCUGCCCAUUACUGGCGCAAAAAACACAAGCGCCCCAGGUCUGUCCAGCACCGACAGUCAAUGGCGCCGACAUUCCUCCCAAUCAAAAUCUGUGCUGGUACAGGCGUGCUGCCGAGAAGGCGCAACCACCAAGCACAGAUACUGCUCCUUUGACGAA